UCAGGCUCACUCCUGGGAACUGUAGUGGGCAUCACCCUCCCCCCUAGUCUCCUGGUAUGUGGAAACCUGGGGGAUACCUGUUGGGGGGGGAGAAGGCAAAGCAAGACGCUGGGUAGGACACCAGCAGCACCUGCAACAGCUAAUAGGAAACACAGACUAACACUGAACUUCUGUGUGGAACAGAACGGGUGGUCUCUGGAGCACAUCUCUCUACUCACUGAACAAAUGGCAUUUCUUACUAUAGCACUGCAACCUUUCCAUAGAAGACACAACACUUGGAUUCUACUUUACGUUCGUGGUGUCACUCAAGUUCCACGCUUUCUCAGUCCUGGCACAUACAUUUGAUAUUCGCCCAUCCUAUUUCAUUGUUAUUUCCAGCGGCAUAAGGAUGCGACAGAGAGCUUUGGCAAAUGUCAAGCUCUUCUGGAAACGUCACCUCGAAAGAUUGACCUGGUGGCAUCCUAGGAAAGGAGUGACCUGUGUCGGUCCCCAGCCUAAUAACUUUGCUUGUGAUAGUUGCAACCAUAUCUGCAAGGUCUUUCUGUUUUGGUCACAGAGGCCCGAAAGAAAACAGGCUCAAACUCCUCUCUGUGUUGUUGGAAGAAAUCUAGACUCUUAAUACCUUUACACCAUCAAUCUGGACUCUGCAUCCUGUCACUGAGGUUGGAGACAUGUUGAGAUCUGGG